UACGGAGGAGGCAAGCGUUAUCCGGAAUUAUUGGGCGUAAAGCGUCCGCAGGUGGCACCUCAAGUCUGCUGUCAAAGACCGGGGCUUAACCCCAGAAAGGCAGUGGAAACUGAAGUGCUAGAGUGCAGUAGGGGUAGAGGGAAUUCCCGGUGUAGCGGUGAAAUGCGUAGAGAUCGGGAGGAACAUCAGUUGCGAAGGCGGCUCUCUGGACCAGCACUGACACUGAGGCACGAAAGCGUGGGGAG
rnacentral:rRNA from 1 species